UACGGAGGGUGCGAGCGUUGUCCGGAAUCACUGGGCGUAAAGGGAGCGUAGGCGGGUGUUUAAGUUAGGUGUUUAAUCCUGGGGCCCAACCCCAGUCGUGCACCUAAAACUGGACAUCUUGAAUAGGGGAGAGGUCAGUGGAAUUGGAGGUGUAGCGCUGGAAUGCGUAGAGAUCUCCAAGAACACCAGUUGCGAAGGCGGCUGACUGGACCCAUAUUGACGCUGAGGCUCGAAAGCAUGGGGAGCAAACAGG
rnacentral:rRNA from 1 species